UUUCCGUAGGUGAACCUGCGGAAGGAUCAUUACAGAGUUCAUGCCCUCACGGGUAGAUCUCCCACCCUUGAAUAUUUAUACCUUAGUUGCUUUGGCAGGCCGUGGAAACACCAUGGGCUCCGGCUUAUGCGUGCCUGCCAGAGGAAACAAACUCUGUUUUUAGUGAUGUCUGAGUAUUAUAUAAUAGUUAAAACUUUCAACAACGGAUCUCUUGGUUCUG
rnacentral:misc_RNA from 1 species